GGGGGGGGGGGGGCGGCGAGGGGACGAGGAAGGCGAUCCGGUUUGCUGAAGGUCAAAGCCCAGGAGCUUGUUGCGAAGGGUGGACUCCUCAGAGCAGAUUUCUGGGGUGACCUAUUAGCUGUACAGUCUCAAGGAUCAAGAACAAGUGCGUAGAAGAUGCACCUCUGUCUGGUGCGUUGAGGGGAAACCACAGCAGAGGACUGAUUGCGUUGAGCAGGAGAGAGGAUUUCUACAAAGCGCCUUCCUACGAGGUGCCAUCUGGCAGGACUGUGUCAUUCAGCAGUGCCACUCAGCGCGUCGUGCACCUUAAAUAUACCAUUUCACUGAUAAAAAUAUAUUAGAGAGCUAUCAACUCCUUAGACAAAGCCAGAAGAACCAUGAACAUAAUGCCCAGGAAAAAAAAAAAAGUCAUAAAUUUUCUGAGUCCAUAAAGAAGCCUUUUUCUCCUCAAACUUUUUAUGCUGGUGGUCCUAAACACCAUUCUGCAUCAGCUCAAGCCAAAGCUGUUCCUCACUAGAGCUAUUUGUGCAGAGCCUGCUGUGGGGAGAAAAGUAUGUUAUCAAUCAUCUUCUGAUUUUACCAGGUCUGUAAACCUCAAGAGGAGGCUUUUAAGAGUACCAGCUUUCUGGAGGGUGUCGUUGCUCCUGAAGAGCAGAAAGAGUGGACUGUAUAGUCACUUUUUUUCCUGGAUCCCAUGCAUUAAUCCUGGCUUUUAAACAUUGAAGCCUCCUGGCUUCCCCACGUGCCCGUGUCCCCACGGAGCACAGUAUGAACCACUCCGGCUGUGGUAACGAUACAGUAGUUUUAUCACAUGCACUGUAAUAUUGUCCCUUGUAAAGCGUAACGCUCUUGAGUAGGCAUAGUAAACUGAAGACAAUCAAGAUCUUAAAGGGUAAUAUGUUUUUAUGUGUUUAGUAGCUUAUGGUGCUAUAUAACUCCAGAGCCCAAAUGCAGCAGCGGCCUCUCCAAAUCACGCUAUUAAUAUCGUAUAAUGAGCAGUGCUGCUACUCUUGAAUUCUGGCACACCAGAGGGUGAUUUCCAGCACUUCCAGUCCCCAGUAAAAAUGUUAUCCUCUCUACUGUGUCUGUGCUUGGCUUAUGCUGGGCAAUGCUGCUCGGGAUUGCAGUGGUGCCAUCGUGGUCGAAGGAGAGUUUUCCACACUAACGCUGGUAUAGCCAAAGCUUUUUGCUGCCUAGGGAUUACCUAAAUUGCAGUAGAAGAGAAGUUUUCAACUGCAGAAAAAUUUUUGUUUGCUCAUGGGACUUUUUCCUCUAAGAGCUGGCUCUUCUCUCCACCUCAGCCCUAAGUCAGGACACGAAGCAUCUCCAGCGUUGCACGGUGUGACCUGACACGUCCCCGCAGUGUGAGCGGCACUUCGGGCAUUGUACCCAAACCUCAGACAGAAUCAGUGUUUUUGACAACUUCUUUCCCUCUCUCCCAAUGAGAAAGAGCUUCUGGAAGUCAGCUUGUCCAUGUUGACGCAGGGGAUAAUCAAGACUUGAUCUAUAUUGCAGUGCAGCCAGCAGCCCUCUCCCCACAGAACGUAGAUGUGGAUGAUGCUCAUCUCAGCUCUGGCAUUCUGCAGCCUCUGGAUUUUUGUGAGGAUCCAGAGAGCAGAACAUGUCUCCAUCUUCCCAUCUGCUGAGAAUAGGUGGAAAUUAAAGUUAAAGGCCAAAGGCAAGGCAGUUUUUGCUUUCCUUUGUCUGUAGGAGUCACAGGAGCCUCGUGCCCAGAGCAGCCCCUUGGUGCUACACAAGCCUUAGGAGCUGAUCAUGGUUUUCUGUGCCCUGAAAUUUUUUCUAGGAUUUCAUGUGAAGAGAAGGACUCACCAAAAAAACCCCAAACAAACAAAAAACCCCAACAGCACCAACCAAGAAACACCCAAACCCAAACAACCCCCCAAAAAAACCCUGCUGGAGAAGGUUUCCAAGAUCACUAUUGGAGGGCAGGACCAAGCUCAGCUGGAGGACAGGACCAAGCUCAGCUUAAAUUACUCGUGCAGUUUUAUAGGACACUACCAUACUUAUGAAAAGUGGAGUUAAAAUGACUCUUUUUUGGAAGGAUGGCUGAGCAAGAAGCAGGAUUGUGACCGCAACGCAUCCCUUAUUUGCCCUCAGCAAGAGGUGGGUGAACGGCAGUAGAAAACGGCAGUAGCAGCGUUUGUACAAUGCAUUGCCACUUCAGAAAAUUUGGGUUCUGUAAUAAACUGUCACAUAUGCAAGGCUAACACAAAUUAAGUCUGUGAUACACCAGAUGUCAUCACGUUUUCAAAUGGGGAGCAUCUUGCUCAGAAAAUCUCUUUCAUUUUGGGUUUCCAAUGCCUUAAAACAGCUCUCCUACAGCAAACACGUCCCAGCACCUGGGCGACGGGCACAGGACAGAAUGGAAUAGUAAAGAACAGCUCUUUCCCCACCAUUAGUGGUAUUUUGCUCCUUCCCACAGUAAUUGCAAUUCAGAUAAUAUUAAUGUUCCCAUUCUUAUGUUAAAAUUAAUAGUAGACUGCUGGUAUUUCAGCUCGACAUUAAUUGUAUAAUAUUCAUACGACAAAUGCUGUUAGUUUUAGAAAUCUUCCAGAUAAACUUAUAUAAAUUUGUCACCACAAACCCAUGAAAAAAAUCUUUCAUGCAUAUUGAUUAGGGCUUUUCUAUAGUAACGCCAGAAUCCUGAAUAGUCCAACGGUAGCUGCCUGCUUCUAAAUAAAAAGGAGAAUAUU